rnacentral:rRNA from 1 species
UAAACCCAAGGUUUCCUGGGCCAGGUUCGUCCUCCCAGGGUUAGCCGGGAGCUAAGAUGAGGCCGUAAGGCGUAAUCGAUGCACAGCAGGUUAAAUAUUCCUGCGCCCGCCGGGAUUAAGGCUGCGAAUGACGCAUGGAGAGACAUUGACUAGGCAAUCGAAUGCUGAGCUUAGGCUUCGGCCAAAGCGCAUCAGUGGGUCUCUGUGCCGAGAAAAGUUUGCAGUCGUUUCCCCGACGGCCCGUACCGUAAACCGACACAGGUGGGUGAGUGUAAGCGCACUCAGGCGCGCGAGAGAAACCUCUCUAAGGAACUCGGCACAUUAGCCUCGUAACUUCGGGAAAAGAGGUGCUCACUUCGGUGAGCCACAGUAAAUUGCGUUUAGCGACUGUUUAACAAAAACACAGCUCUCUGCAAAGUCGUUAAGACGACGUAUAGGGAGUGACAAGUGACCAAUGCGGAAAGAUUAAGAGAUUUUGUUAGCCGCAAGGCGAAGCUCGGUCUUUAAGUCCCCGUGAAUGUCGGCCGUAACUAUAACGGUCCUAAGGUAGCGAAAUUCCUUGUCGGGUAAGUUCCGACCUGCACGAAUCGUGUAACGACUGAACGACUGUCUCGGAGAGGAUCUCGGCGAAACUGUAACGGCGGUGAAGAUGCCGCCUGCCCGCAGUAGGACGGAAAGACCCUAUGCACCUUUACUGUAAGCUCGUAUUGUGUUCUGGUUGGCGAUGCGUAGCGUAGGUGGGAGACUUUGAAGCGGGUGCCUCGGUGCCCGUGGAGUCGCAAUGUGAAACACCACUCUUUGCUAAUUAGGAUUCUAACCCCGAUCUGUGAUCCAGACGGGGGACAGUGCGUGCAGGUCAGUUUGACUGGGGCGGUUUCCUCCAAAAGAGUAACGGAGGAGCGCUAAGCUUGGCUCAGCACGGUCGGCAACCGUGUGUUGAGCGUAUGGGUAGAAGCCAGGUUAACUGUAAGACCUACAAGUCGAGCAGAUGCGAAAGCAGGCCCAAAUGAUCCGACGGUUUAAUGUGGAAUUGCCGUCGCUCAUCGGACAAAAGGUACGCUAGGGAUAACAGGCUGAUCGGAUCCAAGAGUUCAUAUCGACGAUCCGGUUUGGCACCUCGAUGUCGGCUCAUCGCAUCCUGGGGCUGGAGAAGGUCCCAAGGGUCCGGCUGUUCGCCGGUUAAAGCGGUACGCGAGCUGGGUUCAGAACGUCGUGAGACAGUUCGGUCCUUAUCCACUGUGGGCGCAGGAAACUUGAGGGGUUCAAACCUUAGUACGAGAGGACCGGGUUUGACGCACUUCUGGUGUGGCAAUUGUUCCGUCAGGGGCAUCGUUGCGUAGCCAUGUGCGGAAGAGAUAAGCGCUGAAAGCAUCUAAGUGCCAAGCUCAUCCCAAGAUAAUGUUUCCCGGACGCAAGUCCCUAAAGACCACGGGCAGACCACCCGUUUGAUAGGCUGGGAGUGUAAGCGCCGCGAGGCGUUCAGCUGACCAGCACUAAUCGGUCGUGCGGCUUGAUUGC